rnacentral:rRNA from 1 species
UGCAGUCGUACGCACUGGCCCAACUGAUUGAUGGUGCUUGCACCUGAUUGACGAUGGAUCACCAGUGAGUGGCGGACGGGUGAGUAACACGUAGGUAACCUGCCCCGGAGCGGGGGAUAACAUUUGGAAACAGAUGCUAAUACCGCAUAACAACAAAAGCCGCAUGGCUUUUGUUUGAAAGAUGGCUUUGGCUAUCACUCUGGGAUGGACCUGCGGUGCAUUAGCUAGUUGGUAAGGUAACGGCUUACCAAGGCGAUGAUGCAUAGCCGAGUUGAGAGACUGAUCGGCCACAAUGGAACUGAGACACGGUCCAUACUCCUACGGGAGGCAGCAGUAGGGAAUCUUCCACAAUGGGCGCAAGCCUGAUGGAGCAACACCGCGUGAGUGAAGAAGGGUUUCGGCUCGUAAAGCUCUGUUGUUGGAGAAGAACGUGCGUGAGAGUAACUGUUCACGCAGUGACGGUAUCCAACCAGAAAGUCACGGCUAACUACGUGCCAGCAGCCGCGGUAAUACGUAGGUGGCAAGCGUUAUCCGGAUUUAUUGGGCGUAAAGCGAGCGCAGGCGGUUGCUUAGGUCUGAUGUGAAAGCCUUCGGCUUAACCGAAGAAGUGCAUCGGAAACCGGGCGACUUGAGUGCAGAAGAGGACAGUGGAACUCCAUGUGUAGCGGUGGAAUGCGUAGAUAUAUGGAAGAACACCAGUGGCGAANGCGGCUGUCUGGUCUGCAACUGACGCUGANGCUCGAAAGCAUGGGUAGCGAA